AGGCCCCAGGAUCCAACCCACCUUCAGGUUUUGGAACUCCUUCUCCUCCUCCUUGAGCACCUCGAGCUGCUUCAGCACCGAGUCCUGCUGGAACUCGCCGCGGUCCAUCUGGGAAAGGAGCAGGGACAGAAAAAGGCAGGCUGAUGCAGAAAACGAAUUAUUUACCGAGAUGAGGGCUGGGGCUGCACCCGCCUGCCCAAAGCAACACCCCCAAAAUCGUCUGGGGUUUUUUUGGUGUUUUUUUUUUUUUUUUAUUCCCUUCUUUUCAUCCUUUCCUCCUCAGCUGAACUUGGCCGCCUCAUUAGUUUUCCUUUGAAGGCUGGCUGUGAUCGGGGGGAGGCGGAGAGGAGGGGCAAGGUGCACAUUAAUUACACCACAGCUUUAAUUACCCUUCCUUCAGCACGCGGGGCUGUGCAGGAAGCGGGAUAAUUAUCAACCAAUUCCUCAGUUGCCUUUUUUUAGCUUCUCCCGUAUCCACCCGACGCCUCCAGCCCGGCUUCUCUGGGAUCACAGCCCCACGUCAGCCCCAAAAUCCCCUUUUAUUGCCCAAAUUCGCUCCUCUUUAAGAUGGUAAGUGGCUGUGGAAAUUCACCCCGCGGCACUUGCUGUUCAUCUCCCGAAAGCCUUUGAUGUGGCUGUUAAAGGCAAUAAAUUAAAGUACCUGAGUUUUCCUAGGGAAAAGAAAGCCUGUAUCAGCCAUUGAUUUACCAGGAUAAAUACAAGUGUCGCCGAGGAUUAAACGAGUGCAGCUAAAAUGGGACGUGGAGGGGUUUUUUUGCUCUGCCAACCCCGGCGACCCCCUCGAUCCUCUAAAGCAUCUCUGCAAAGGCAGACUGGGGAUGUUAACCCUAUCGGAAGGGUUUAACAGGUUGGAAUGAAAAGGAAAAAAAAAAAAAAAUUUCUCCUUGGAUUUGGGUUUUUUUUGGGGUUUUUUUUUGGGUUUUAUUUUGUGUUAGCGUGGAUAACACAGGCCAGAUCCAGAGAUGGAGAGGGCAGAAGGGUGGUGGGAACCAAAGGAACAAUCCCACUGUGACAAAACCUCCCUGGAAUUAAUGAUGUCGGGUUUGAUGGGGUGUUUGAAGGCAUUUUAUUUAAGCCAUUUAUUUUAUUGAAGUGAUGAUGGGAAUGAUCCAGGUACUGGGAUGCUCCAUGGGGACCCCGCCUGUCCCCUGUCCCCUCUGAAUUUGGCUGCACCUCGUGGAUUUGGGGACUGCAGGGAGUCUCCACAUGAGGUCCACAAAGCGCCACCACAUCGCCGAACCUCCAACUCCCCCAUUACAGCCGGUCAUUAACAACUUUAAUAAAGUUUUACACCGUUAA